UACGUAGGGGGCAAGCGUUGUCCGGAAUCAUUGGGCGUAAAGAGCGUGUAGGCGGCUCGAUAAGUCUGCUGUGAAAGUCCAGGGCUCAACCCUGGAAGGCCGGUGGAAACUGUCGGGCUAGAGUCCGGAAGAGGCGAGUGGAACUCCUGGUGUAGCGGUGGAAUGCGCAGAUAUCAGGAAGAACACCAACGGCGAAGGCAGCUCGCUGGGACGGUACUGACGCUGAGACGCGAAAGCGUGGGGGAGCGAACAGG
rnacentral:rRNA from 1 species